rnacentral:tRNA from 1 species
ACUUUUAAAGGAUAAAAGUCAUCCACU